AUUGGGUCUUCUGCGGUUUGGGCUGAAGCGGUCUCGCGGGACAAACAGAGACCCGCUCCAUUUCUGCAUACGUCUCCUUCUUCACCUACAAAGCCAAUUGAGCUUCAGGGACAGCGAAUCGAGAUGGAAAGACUUUGUGCGCUAGCUGCUGGAAGAUAUGUUCGAGAUGAAAUUGAUCCUGAAGAGGAAAUCUUACCAUCUUUUGACUCCAUUGCCAAUGAGGAAAAUGAUAAUGAGGAAGUUUGAUAUCUUUCUUGAUUUGUUGUUUUGUUUUAUUACAAGUUGGAAUUUCAUGUUUCAAUUUCUUGGAUUUGUUUGAGUACUAUGAUUAGGGUUUUUUUUGGUGUUUGGUCGUGUAUAAAAGAAAUGUGUAAGAGUAUAAAAUUAUAUAAGCUGAAACGACAAUGAUUGUAAGAGUAUAAAAUGAUUGUAAGAGUAUGGUCGAUCAUGUUUUUAAUAAUGA